GGAAAAACCUAAUUGCCUCGAAUUCCUUCUCUCCUUCUCCUCACCUCACGCGAGCAUCGACGCUUCUCGCGAAACCGCAGCGGCUGGAAACUAGGGCUUCUCCGGCGGCCGGCCAAAGGGGACCUCUCCGUGGGUUCUUCACAAGUCCGAGUUCCUCUCGUCGAGGAGAAUCCGUAGGCACGAGGAAGAGGGCGAGUUUGUGAGAUCCUCCGCAAACCCCAGAAGCAUUGGAAGCCUUUUUCUUCGGCUGUAAGUCCAAGAAACCCAAGAUAAAGAAAGGCGACAAGGUGGCACAGAUGGUGUGUGAUGCUAGGACUAUGGAAGUCUUGGGACCUAGUUUAAGAAUUUGUUUAGACUAAUUCUUUAUUUAGAUUGAUAAGAAAAUUGGAGUAAGAAGUUGUAUUUUAUUUUGCUUCCGCUAUUCAUUACUUGCAUGAUUUGAUUUUAUUAAACUGC